rnacentral:rRNA from 1 species
UACAGAGGUGGCAAGCGUUGUUCGGAAUUACUGGGCGUAAAGGGCGCGUAGGCGGUCCCGUCAGUCCCUUGUGAAAUCCCCCGGCUCAACUGGGGAACUGCAAGGGAUACAGCGGGGCUUGAGUUCGGGAGAGGGAAGCGGAAUUCCGGGUGUAGCGGUGAAAUGCGUAGAUAUCCGGAGGAACACCAGUGGCGAAGGCGACUACCUGGCCUGUUCUUGACGCUGAGGCGCGAAAGCUAGGGGAGCAAACGGG